rnacentral:rRNA from 1 species
GAUGAACGCUGGCGGCGUGCCUAAUACAUGUAAGUAGAACGCUGAAGGAAGGAGCUUGCUCUUUCCGGAUGAGUUGCGAACGGGUGAGUAACGCGUAGGUAACCUGCCUGGUAGCGGGGGAUAACUAUUGGAAACGAUAGCUAAUACCGCAUAACAGUAGAUGUUGCAUGAUAUCUACUUAAAAGGUGCAAUUGCACCACUACCAGAUGGACCUGCGUUGUAUUAGCUAGUUGGUGAGGUAACGGCUCACCAAGGCGACGAUACAUAGCCGACCUGGGAGGGUGAUCGGCCACACUGGGACUGAGACACGGCCCAGACUCCUACGGGAGGCAGCAGUAGGGAAUCUUCGGCAAUGGACGGAAGUCUGACCGAGCAACGCCGCGUGAGUGAAGAAGGUUUUCGGAUCGUAAAGCUCUGUUGUAAGAGAAGAACGAGUGUGAGAGUGGAAAGUUCACACUGUGACGGUAUCUUACCAGAAAGGGACGGCUAACUACGUG